rnacentral:rRNA from 1 species
UGGAUGAUGUGGUUUAAUCGAUGCAACGCGAAAACCUUACCACCUUUGACAUGGCAGGAAUCCCGAAGAGAUUUGGGAGUGCUCGAAAGAGAACCUGCACACAGGUGCUGCAUGGCUGUCGUCAGCUCGUGUCGUGAGAUGUUGGGUUAAGUCCCGCAACGAGCGCAACCCUUGCCAUUAGUUGCUACGAAAGGGCACUCUAAUGGGACUGCCGGUGACAAACCGGAGGAAGGUGGGGAUGACGUCAAGUCCUCAUGGCCCUUAUAGGUGGGGCUACACACGUCAUACAAUGGCCGGUACAGAGGGUAGCCAACCCGCGAGGGGGAGCCAAUCCCACAAAGCCGGUCGUAGUCCGGAUCGCAGUCUGCAACUCGACUGCGUGAAGUCGGAAUCGCUAGUAAUCGCGGAUCAGCAUGUCGCGGUGAAUACGUUCCCGGGCCUU